rnacentral:rRNA from 1 species
GACGAACGCUGGCGGCGUGCUUAACACAUGCAAGUCGAACGGUGAAGCGCCUUCCUUUUUGGUGGGUGUGGAUGAGUGGCGAACGGGUGAGUAACACGUGAGUAACCUGCCCCCUUCUUCUGGAUAACCGCAUGAAAGUGUGGCUAAUACGGGAUAUUCUGGGUCUGUCGCAUGAUGGGUCUGGGAAAGAUAUUGUUUCGGUGGGGGAUGGGCUCGCGGCCUAUCAGCUUGUUGGUGGGGUGAUGGCCUACCAAGGCGGUGACGGGUAGCCGGCCUGAGAGGGUGGAAGGUCAUGCUGGGACUGAGACACGGUCAAGACUCCAACGGGAGGCAGCAGGGGGGAAUAGUGAACAAGGGGCGAGAGACUGAUGCAGCGACGCCGCGGGAGGGAUGGAGGCCGUCGGGUUGUGAACCUCUUUCGCCAGUGAAGCAGGCCUGCCUCGUUUGUGGGUGGGUUGACGGUAGCUGGAGAAGAAGCGCCGGCUAACUACGUG